AGCUUGCUUUCUCACUUUCCUUCUCUCUCUCUCUCUCUCUCUGGUUAAUGUCAAAAAAUAAAAAAAAAAAAUAAUCACAAUGAAUAAAAUGUUUUUAAAAAUGCUAUGAGUGGCAUAUAAACUUCAUUUUUCCCCAUUACCUACAGGGGCAAUUUAUUCAAAUAAAAAUUUGAUCUUGUUCUUAUUUUCUUAGAUUUAUUUCUUGAGUAUUUUGUAUUUGAGAGUGCUACUAUAAACUGUAAUGUUUCUAAUUUCACAUUCCAUUGUUGACAACAGAUAUGUAAGAAAAUGAUUGAUUUUGUGCUUUAACCUUGUAUCCUGCAAUCUCGCUUCUUAGUUCCUGGAUUUUUUUCCAUCUGUUGACCCUUUUGGGUUUUCUACAUAGACGGUCAUUUUCCCUUCCCACCAUUACACCUUUCCUCUCUCCCCGUCUCUGCGAGUCAGCUGGGACUCCAGCGUAGUGCCAACAAGCAGUGAUGAGAAUUGCAUUAUGCUUCCUUUUAUUCUCCCCAGUUUGCCAGAGGGUAUCUGUGCUCACCAGAGAGACAGAAGGAGGAAAGCCACCACCCAGUGGGCCGUGGUCACACGGCAGCCCCUUCAUUUCUCCAUCUCUUGGGAUUUAGGAUGUGCGCACAUACAGCAGGUGCAGACAGCGAGCGGUCAGGUCGUCGAGGGGUCCGAGUGGACAGCGAGCGGUCAGGUCGUCGAGGGGUCUGACUGGAACACCUGUGGUCAGGAUGUGACUUGAACCUCUGGGUCAGCACUGGUAGCAGUAACCCACUCCCCCCUCAGAGGGUCCGUGUGGCAGCACCGUAGCCGCAGGCGUCUUAGAGGGCUCCCGGGC